rnacentral:rRNA from 1 species
GACGAACGCUGGCGGCGUGCCUAACACAUGCAAGUCGAACGGAAAGGCCCUGCUUUUGUGGCGUUCUCGUGUGGCGAACGCGUGAGUAACACGCGAGUAACCUGCCCCUGACUUUGGGAUAUCACCUGGAAACUCGGGCGAUUAUCCCAUAGGAGCUCCUGAAGCAUGGUGGGGGUUGGUAAGUUUCGGCGGUUGGGGAUGGAGUCGCGGCUUAUCAGCUUGUUGGUGGGGUAGUGGCUUACCAAGGCUUCGACGGGUAGCCGGCCUGAGAGGGUGAACGGGCACAAUGGGACUAAGGGAGGGCCCAGACGGCAACGGGAGGCAACGGUGGAGAGCAUUGCACAAUAGGGCGAAGCCUGAAGGAACGACGACGCGUGCGGAAUGACGGGAUUCGGGGAAAAAACCGAUGUCGCAUGAGACGAAGAGUGAGUGACGGUAAUUGGUAAAGAAGCAACGGCUAACUACGUG